rnacentral:rRNA from 1 species
GAUGAACGCUGGCGGCGUGCCUAAUACAUGCAAGUCGAGCGAACAGACGAGGAGCUUGCUCCUCUGACGUUAGCGGCGGACGGGUGAGUAACACGUGGAUAACCUACCUAUAAGACUGGGAUAACUUCGGGAAACCGGAGCUAAUACCGGAUAAUAUAUUGAACCGCAUGGUUCAAUAGUGAAAGACGGUUUUGCUGUCACUUAUAGAUGGAUCCGCGCCGCAUUAGCUAGUUGGUAAGGUAACGGCUUACCAAGGCAACGAUGCGUAGCCGACCGGAAAGAGUGAUCGGCUACCCUGGGUCUGUGACAAGGUCCAGACUCCUACGAGACGCAUCUGUAGGUAGUCUUUCGUACUCGGCGGAAUCUCGCGGUGACUACGUCGCCUGUGUGAGUAUCGACGCCGUUACGUAUGACACUGUUGUUUGUGGAAAUCAUAUGUGUACGUAACCAUGCACGCCUUGCCGGUACAUGCAGAUAAAGAACCGGCUCACGACGUU